AUGGGUGGUGGUUUAUCGCUCGUUCAGCUGACGGCGAAUUACCGAUGCAAGUCGAAGAAGGAUUGGCCGGUGCUGCCGGCUGGUGUCAAGUUCGAUCCCACGGAUCAGGAGCUGAUCGAGCACCUUGAGGCCAAAGUGAGUGCUGACAGCGCGAGAUUUCAGUCUCUCAUCGAUUUGUUCAUACCAACCAUCGACAGCGAGCACGACAUAUGCUACACCCAACCUAAGAAACUUCCAGACCUGUCGGGGUGCGGCAUGCACGCGAUGUGGCACAAGACCGGCAAUACCUUGCCGGUGAUGGUCAACGGCCGGCAGACGGGCAACACAAAAGGUUCUGGUGCUGCACACCAACAAGAACUUCGACCAGUAGAGGACCAACUGGGUGAUGCACCAGUACCACCUCGGGGACCUGGAGCAAGAGAAGGAGCGGGAGCUGGUCCUCUGCAAGAUUUUCUACCAGACGAACACUAG
rnacentral:rRNA from 1 species